rnacentral:rRNA from 1 species
UACGUAGGGUGCAAGCGUUGUCCGGAAUUAUUGGGCGUAAAGAGCUCGUAGGCGGUUCGUCGCGUCGGCUGUGAAAUCCCGAGGCUCAACCUCGGGUCUGCAGUCGAUACGGGCGGACUGGAGUUCGGCAGGGGAGACUGGAAUUCCUGGUGUAGGCGGUGAAAUGCGCAGAUAUCAGGAGGAACACCGGUGGCGAAGGCGGGUCUCUGGGCCGAAUGACUGACGCUGGAGGAGCGAAAGCGUGGGGAGCGAACAGG